rnacentral:rRNA from 1 species
CCUACGGGUGGCAGCAGUGAGGAAUAUUGGUCAAUGGACGAGAGUCUGAACCAGCCAAGUAGCGUGAAGGAUGACUGCCCUAUGGGUUGUAAACUUCUUUUAUAAAGGAAUAAAACGAGGUACGUGUGCCUUUUUGCAUGUACCUUACGAAUAAGGAUCGGCUAACUCCGUGCCAGCAGCCGCGGUAAUACGGAGGAUCCGAGCGUUAUCCGGAUUUAUUGGGUUUAAAGGGUGCGUAGGUGGGCUGUUAAGUCAGUUGUGAAAGUUUGCGGCUCAACCGUGAAAUUGCAAUUGAUACUGGCAGGCUUGAGUGCAGUUGAGGUAGGCGGAAUGCAUGGUGUAGCGGUGAAAUGCUUAGAGAUCACAAAGAACCCCGAUUGCGAAGGCAGCUUACUAAGCUGUGACUGACAUUGAUGCUCGAAAGUGUGGGUAUCAAACAGGAUUAGAUACCCUAGUAGUC